UACGAAGGGUGCAAGCGUUACUCGGAAUUACUGGGCGUAAAGCGUGCGUAGGUGGUUCGUUAAGUCUGAUGUGAAAGCCCUGGGCUCAACCUGGGAAUGGCAUUGGAAACUGGCGACCUAGAGUGCGGUAGAGGGUAGUGGAAUUCCCGGUGUAGCAGUGAAAUGCGUAGAGAUCGGGAGGAACAGCUGUGGCGAAGGCGACUGCCUGGACCAGCACUGACACUGAGGCACGAAAGCGUGGGGAGCAAACAGG
rnacentral:rRNA from 1 species